CAAGUCACUCAAUUCAGAGAAUUUAAUUUUGACGUAACAAUUCAUCUACAUGCCCACCCCCCCUCCGUUACGAACGUUGCUAAGAGACGCACCCAAACAUAACGCUUCCGUGGAAACCAACAACCGUUGAAAAUGUUUAGCAGCUAAAUGAAAAGAAAUAACAUCGACUUGUUUUAAAUAUUACACUUACAGCCAUGGCGUUACCAUUUCUACCCGGGAAUUCUCCUAAUAAACAACUGGGGAAGGAGAAAUUCCACAAAUCCCAACAUUUUGACUAUUCCAAUGGCGUCCCUAUGCUGGUGGGCUGUGAGAAGCCAGGCAUUGGAGGAGAGCCGCUAGGCGGCCAGAAGAUUAAACCAAAGUAUUCUGUCUACCCCAAGGGCCAGGGCAGUGCUCUGCCAUCAUGGCUAGCCUUCGACAAACAGGCUCUGUGUUUUGAAGCAUACUGUCAGGAAGCUGUGCCUGAGGCCCGAGACGAGACGUACCGAAUCAGGAAGUUUAACAUCUACUUCUUCCUGGAAGAUGACACCAUACAGGUGGUGGAGCCGGAGUACAAGAACAGUGGCAUCCCUCAAGGAACAUUUAUUCGCCGCCAGCGUGUCCCUCUGCCUCCCCCAAAUGAUGACCAGUUCUACAACAUUUUCCAUUUCAACCUAGACCAACAGAUGGUGCUGCACUCACGCACAUUCACUGUGACCAACUGUGACACUUUUACAAGGAACUUUUUCUCAAAACUUGGGGUGCGCCUGAACAACCCAGCUGCCGUACCUGCUGACCCCUACAGCAACCUCCGUGAACAGAUUGAGAAAAGCAUGACGCCACUCCGGCCGUACGAGAGGCGCGACACGCUGAAGCAGUUCCUGGACCACGAAGGCGAAGUCCUGCGCUUCAAGUGCUUCUGGGACGACUCGGAGAGCGUGUUCGGGGACCUCCGGGAACUCGUACUGCACUACUUCCUCGCUGAUGACACCAUAGAGAUCCUGGAGAUCAUCCCCCCAAACUCUGGGAGGGAUACUGCGGCCAAAUUCCUACGCCGCAGCAAACUGCCCAAGCAUUCAGUCCAAAUGAAGCAGCCCGGACAGCUCACGGACCGCACAGUGCUCAAUGUGUUUGACUCUUCCAAACAGGGGAAACGCUACAUACUGGACAGCCUCAAAACAGGAGCAGUCAAUGAGGAUUUUUAUAAGGACUGUGACCUGACCAUAGGUCAGGAGGUGAGUGUGUGGGGCAGGAGGCUGAUCAUCGCUGACUGUGACGACUUCACCAAAGACUACUACCGCUUCAAAUACGGCAUAGAGGACUUCACCCCAGUGAGGUACAAAGCUCCCCCGGCCCCAAAGCCCCCGAGGCCCGUGCCCCCCUACAACGGCUUUGGCUCGGAGGAGGACUCGCUGAGCUCCUGCCAGGGCCUGCUGCCCAAACCCCCGCAGAAAGAUUUCCACAAGUUUAUGGAGAAAGACAAAAAUGUGCUGAAGUUCUCUGCCAAGAUGGUGACCGACGAUCCAGUUGACAGCGAGCGGAUGUUCAUCAUCUCCUUCUACCUCUGCGAUGACUCCAUCAGCGUGUAUGAGCAUUCUCAAAGGAACUCAGGCGUGCUCGGUGGUAAGUUUCUGGAGCGCAGCCGUGUAAAGAAGCCAGGCCAGCAGCUGUUUAAGAGCGAGCUGUCCGAGUACUUUACAGCUCAGGAUAUGUACGUCGGAGCGACCAUCUGCAUCAACAAUUGGAACUUCCAACUUCUGGAUGCCGAUGAAUACACCUUGAACUACAUGGAGCAACGUGCUGAGGAGUUCCCCAAAGCCAACGUGGGAAACAUCCUCAGUAAACUACGGUCCAUUCAGGAGGAGAAACAGAGUGAGAUCAAGAAGUUUCUGACUCUCAGUGACCCCAGCGACACUGGCUUCAUCCCCUAUGAGUCGUUCAGGGGCCUGCUGACCGGCCUGGACUGCGGUCUGUCGGAGCACGAGGUGCUCAUUCUGGGCCGAUAUUUCUCUGAGCGCACGCAGCCGGAGGCGGACGUGAGCCUGAUGCUGGCUGUGGCCCAGGACUUCCUCAAGAAGAAGCACUUUGAAGAGCUCCCUGACAUGGCCAGAGACUUCACACACCGUGACCAACAGAAGACUGGCCGUCUCUCCACCAAAGAGACGAGGACCAUCUGUAAGGCCUUCAAGCUCCCCCUGCCUGAGACGCUGCUCGGAGGUCUGCUCAGCGUGUUUGCAGAUGGGGAUGAGAUUGACUACCACGCCUUCCUGGCUGGCAUUAACUGGGUAGAGCAUCAUGCUCCCCCAGUGAUGCCCGAAGACACUUUAAAGUUUGAUGUGAAUGCGAGGUCUGACGGCGGUGGGGCUACGGUGAAGCACGUCAACUACUCUUCCCUUCUGAGGGACGUUUUCAACAUUACCUCCAACAACGCUGAGCCAACAGCCGCCACGUAGACACAAAGAGCCUGUUUGGUGGUGUAUAGGCUUUCACCCUCUCCUGCUGCCGGCUGUAAAUCGCUUCUGUCGAAGGUGUGCGUGUGCAUGCGUGAGGGGGGGAACAGAAGGGUGUCUGUCUUCAUGUUGAG